UUUGAGUGUAGCUGUGGGUCUCUGUGUACCGUCCAUCUUAUUUAAAUUUUUUUAUGAUUAGUAUAUUAUUAUUAGAUGCUAAAACAUGAAUAAUAUUUUAUACCUGACUUAUUUUCUAUAAUUUUUUAAUAUUUUUUCAAAUAAAACGAAAGAUCAACGUUGGACAAAUAAACCCACAGCUGCACUUAAC
rfam:Oryza glumipatula chromosome 10, whole genome shotgun sequence.